rnacentral:sRNA from 1 species
AGAUAAAAAAAGACCGAAGACGAUUCCUGUCUCCGGUCCAGGGAAAUGGCUCCGUAAAGAGCCGUGCGCUAAAAGUUGGCAUUUGUGCAGGUCGUAUCACCCUGCCCUUUAAAGAUAGUCGGGCAAUACGGAUUUUCCAGCCG